AAGCCACCAAGCGAGCGAGAAGGAGCCUGCAGCAGCCAGCUGGAGAGAGCUGGGAGAACGCGCUAGUUAUCCACCUACAUGAAAGAGGCUGGGUUUUUGCUGACACUUUCUUCUGGAAAUUGAAUGCUGCCUGAAUCAUCCAUCCAGGGCCAUUUGUUCAUAAAAGGAUUUGCUCGAGGAGAGGCAAGCAUCGGCAUCAGCAGCUGCGGGGCCACCCCGGAUGGAGAAGGGCUGCGCUCUUGGGAUGGCUUUAUCUUUUUAUUCCCAUUGGCAGCCUCCACCCCAAAGAAAGCAGCUCCUCCUUUGCAUCAGGGAUGACUUCAAACUGCCUGAUUUCAAGCUGCCUGUACG